rnacentral:rRNA from 1 species
GAUGAACGCUAGCGGCAGGCCUAAUACAUGCAAGUCGAACGGUGUCUUCGGACAUAGUGGCGCACGGGUGCGUAACACGUAUGCAACCUACCUUACAUUGGGGGAUAGCCUUUCGAAAGGGAGAUUAAUACCGCAUAAGACAGUAGCUGGGCAUCCAGCAGCUGUUAAAGAUUUAUCGAUGUAAGCUGGGCAUGCGUCCAAUUAGCUAGUUGGUGAGGUAACGGCUCACCAAGGCAAUGAUUGGUAGGGGAACUGGGAAGUCAAUCCCCCACCCUGGGACGGGGAUACGGGCCAGACUGCUACGGAAGGCAGCGGUAGGGAAUAUUGGGCACGGGACGCACGGCUGGCCCAGCCAUGCCGCGUGCAGGAUGGAGGCGUUAUGCGUUGUAAACUGCUUUUAUACAGGGAGAAACGACUCUUGCGAGAGGCAUUGACGGUACUGUAUGAGUAAGCACCGGCUAACUCCGUGCCAGCCGCCGCGGUAAACC